rnacentral:lncRNA from 1 species
UUGUCAUCUAACAAUAAAUUCAUCUCGACCUCAAGAUGAUUCCUCGGCUUCACUGUGGCAAUGGACACAUUACACACUGCUCAACAAGACUUUAACAGAGGAAAAGAAUUAACAGACAAGCCAAUAGAAGUAACCAAAAAUAAAGAGACGUUGCUAAUCCAUAGACAUCGAAGCGAUGUGAGGCACUGAAGACCUCCCGUCGGUAGUAAAAUGAAGAGUGAAAAUGUGAGAUUAUAAUCAUCUAUGCGUACCAGCGAGUGUUCAGUGCCACAUUGGCUGAGGGAAAGGUGUUGUGUGAUAUCCUUAUAUGGUAUUUGAUAGGCUUCCCUCAGGAGCCCGAUAUCCACACCUUUACAAUUUAUAACUAUGUUAACACAUCUUCCUUGCCAAACAGAAAAAUUAAAUAAUAGAGUUACUUGUGAUUUUCAAUUGCCAAUAAUAGUCCUUCAUUUUGUCUAGUUCUAUUGUGACUUUAAUACUUGUUAUUUAAGGUGUCUUGUUUUUUUCCUAUAAACAGCAGUUCACAUGCUACAAUGGAUUAACUUAUAACUAUGUCAGUGUAUUUAAAGAAUAAGCUAAAAGUUAUAACUUAUGACAUAGCUAAAAGUUAUAACUUAAAAGCUAAAAGAAUGGAUUAACUUAUAACUUAUAACAUAGUUAUAACUUAUUACUUAUAACUAUAUCAGUCUAUUAUUCCUAGAUAAUUUGGAUGGUUUUCAGCGAUUUUUUAUAUGCAUGUGUGUCAUUGCUUUUGGACAUCACAUUGCCUGCCACCUAUCGCAAGUGGCGGAUACAGUCUUGUAGCACCGGGUUCAUUAAAACUUAUGCGAUAUUUGUAAUGUGGAUUAUAUUUUUAUAUGCGAAAAAUUUUAAAAUUGCAAUAAAUAACAGGUAUGCACAUAAGUAUCUUGUCAUUUUCCUAAAGAACUGGAUUGCCUCAGCAUAAAUAAAACUCACAUUUUGUAUAUUAAAGCUCAUGUGAUUAUAAGGAUGAAAAGUAAAUAAUAUGUUCAGUUAUGAUCAGCUUCGACACCAUUAGCAAGAAACUUUGAAUGAGACGAAUGAAUUGAUAGGAUCAACCUUGAAUGAGUUAACGAGAAUCUGAUCAUCGACACCAGCAACAAACAGAGUUGUUGGAAGUGAAACGGUUCCUGCAUUCGCGUCAUCAAGUGCAGCAACAGCUGAAGCUGAUUUACUCCAAUCGCUUCUGCGGACAGAUUCUUGUGCUUCUGCAAGCUCGCUUUUGCGAGACAAACCUCCCAUUUGUGAUCCUCACUGGCAGUCCAAUUUUCGCACCUGCAAACAGAAGCAUCACAUCGCUUCUACGACAAAGGAUUGCUUCUGUGAAAAUCAUGCCCAGCUUCUGCCUCAGCCCGCUUCUGCGUCUUUAAGACAUCGCACCUGCGCAAUACUGUCCGCAUCUGCGACGGUCGCUUCUGCGAGGUUGCUUCUACGACUAGGACAUCGCAGAAGUGAUGCACCAGCAGUCCAGAAACAGCAAAAAUUCCAGAAGCUUUCAAGUCCAAAUUGAUUCGUUAACCACCCGAGCCCUCAAGCAGAUGGAAAACGGUACACAAUCAAAGUCACAACCACCUGUUGCUGAUUCCAAUGCUACUGAGAUGAAAGUACAACUUGUCAAUUAAUCUCUACUUUGUGAUCCUUCAGCUAGGUACUCCAUUUUCUUUUUUUAAUUAAAGGAAAUUUUAAUGUGUGCUGGAGCAUAUAAAUUAAUAAAAAAUUACUCCAUCUAUUCCAAAUUUUGUGACAUUUUUGUUUUUCGAGAUUUAAAAUAUAUGUGAACUAAAACCAACAAUUUUUUAAAAAAUUGUUUUAUCACAGACAUGGGAAU